rnacentral:rRNA from 1 species
UACGAAGGGGGCUAGCGUUGUUCGGAAUCACUGGGCGUAAAGGGCGCGUAGGCGGCUUUAUAAGUCGGGGGUGAAAGCCUGUGGCUCAACCACAGAAUUGCCUUCGAUACUGUAGAGCUUGAGACCGGAAGAGGUAAGUGGAACGAGCAGUGUAGCGGUGAAAUGCGUAGAUAUUGCUCGGAAGGCCAGAGCCGAAGGGGCCCUACUGGUGCGCAACUGACACUGAGGCACGAAAGCGUGGGGAGCAAACAGG